UGAUACCAUGGUGUGGUUUGCUGAUUAACAUGACAUCUCUUGAGAUUAUGAAGGAUUAUUCCAGAUACUGUGGAAUCUCUAUUUCGGACACUGUUUCCGCCGGCCUUUCACAUCAUCCUGGAGUUAAUUUACAAGAAUGCUUACUUAGGUUCAUGCAACCAAAAUGUCAGCUUAUAUUUGUGGAUCAGGAGAUCAACACUCUUGGAACAAUCAUCAACAAUGUCUUUGAUAUCUUCUACCUGAUUGCUUGCCGAUUCCAUACUCAUGUCUGCAGAUUACCCUCUAACAGACGUGUGGCAGCAAAUCUAAAUUUCUUCUUCGAAUGCAUUGAAGAAAUUGCUGACUAUUUCGAACAACAAAUAUAUUAUUAUAUGAUAAAGAUGAAUGGCACAAUCUGCUACCCACUGAACAAACUAGAGAAUAAAUGGUUGUGUUUCAUGGCAUUUGAUCUUAAACUGUCCUGCAAUUGCAGUCAAUAUCACAAACUUCGUAACCUGCUGCAGAUGUAUUUUACUCAGACAAAACACCUCCUGAGCAAGAAGAGAUACAAACUGUUUAUGGAAGUGAAGGAAUCUGGUGUUUCAGAUCAUUUCAAGAACAUCUUAGACUGAGACACUGAGGAACUUUCCAGAAUAUCUAUAAUUGUACCAACCUGGAGAACUAAGAAAAGCAAACUUGACAAAUGAACAUGUUGAAAUACUGACCACAGUUACCAAAUAAAAGAGUUGAAAAUUUGAUAUUUCCAAAGGGGAAAAUAGAAUUUUGACCAAAUGUGCUGAAAAGAACUACCAUCUUAAGAAAAUGACCAAAGUAAAAAACGAAAUUUUGACCAAAGUAAAAAAUGAAAUUUUAUCCAAAAUUAUCAAACAGAAGAAUGGUAACAAUUAAAUUACAGAAAUAAUAAAUAAGAAGAAUUGGAUAUAUCAAUUGAUUUACCAAAUGUUGGUAUAAAAACAGUAAUGAAGUCUGCUGUUGUGUGUGUUUUGAGAAAGAAAUAGGAUUAAUUUGUUCUCCAAUAUUUCAAGAGUUAAAACAUUUGAUAAAAUGCCAAGAAGAGAAAGAUUAGCAUUUCUGACCACUUGCUUUACUUCACUUUCAAUGAAGGUUCCAAAUCUGCCAAAAUUGCUCAAGACAUUUGAACCGUUUUACAGAGAAGAUGCCAUUACAGAAAGAACUGCAUAGAAAUGAUUUCCACGUUUCAGGGAAAUUCAGCCUGGCAGACUCUUCCUGUUCCGGUCGACCUGUUCAGUUCAAUGGGGAUCAAUUGAAUGAUCUCGUCCACAAUACCCCAUUACCUUCGAUUCUCAAUGGGUAAAGUCCAAGAACUCCACAUAGUUAAUUAAGCCUUUAGUGUUUAAACCGGCCAUAUCCAGCCCAAAUAUUCUACAUGAUUUACAUUCAAACUGGCCAUAUCUAGCC
rnacentral:misc_RNA from 1 species